AUUGAACGCUGGCGGCAGGCCUAACACAUGCAAGUCGAACGAGUGGCGGACGGGUGAGUAAUGUCUGGGAAACUGCCCGAUGGAGGGGGAUAACUACUGGAAACGGUAGCUAAUACCGCAUACCAUCGGAUGUGCCCAGAUGGGAUUAGCUAGUAGGUGGGGUAACGGCUCACCUAGGCGACGAUACCUAGCUGGUCUGAGAGGAUGACCAGCAAAAAUGGAACGAAGACAGGGUCCAGACGCCUACGGGAGGAAGCAGUGGGGAAUAUUGCACAAUGGGCACAGUCCUACUGAGGAAAUGCCGCGUGUAUGAAGAAGGCCUUCGGGUUGUAAAGUACGUUCAGCGGGGAGGCGUUACUCGCAGAAGAAGCAACGGCUAACUCCGUGCCAGCAGCCGCGGUAAUAC
rnacentral:rRNA from 1 species